rnacentral:lncRNA from 1 species
CUCGCCUCCCGCUUUAAUCUGCUCUUCGAUUUUUACUUUAAGGUCUUGAUGACGAAUACUUCCACCUGCACCCGGGAACGCUGCUGUGCCUGAGAGGCUGGAGGCUCUGAGAUACCAACGGAUAAAGAAGCCCAAAAAGUCAUCCAAGGGCUCUUCGAAGUCAAAGAAACGAUCCGACGGUUCUGCCUCCCAGGCUCAGCAGCUUCCCAGCUCUCAGGUUCUGUGGCCCGACGAAGCUGUCUGCCUCCGCAAGAAGAAGAGACACUCUCGUCCUGAUCCCUUUGCCCGGCUCUCAGACUUGUGCCACCGUCAGCUUCCGGAAGACCAGACAGCAAUCCUCAACAGCGUGGAUCAUGAUGACCCAGGCCACGCUACUCUGCUAUGACGUGACAUCACUCUAAAUGUCCCCAGGGUGGGGUGCUAGGCUAAAGGGGUGGAGAGGGACCAUUGUACAGGGCCCUGUCCUCCUCUGCCUAUCAUGGGAUGGCUCAGGCCCUUGUCCUGUGUGUGUCAUUGUCCCUCGUGCCAGUGGGGACCUCUGCCCCACUAUCUAGCCAGCUAGCUUUGCUCAUGGGACAGAGGACUGGGGGAAGAGCUUAUAACUGUGGGUCAGAGUUGGGAAUAUAUGGGAAUGGAAAACAUCUCUCUCUAUGCCACCUCUCUCUCCCACUUGGCUAGAUUGAUUCUUCUCACCUCUUUA